rnacentral:rRNA from 1 species
CCUACGGGAGGCUGCAGUGAGGAAUAUUGGGCAAUGGGCGAAAGCCUGACCCAGCAACGCCGCGUGGAGGAUGAAUGUCGUAAGAUUGUAAACUCCUGUUAGAGGGGAAGAAUAAUCCCGAUCGACUCGGGACUUGACUGUACCCUCAGAGAAAGCUCCGGCUAACUACGUGCCAGCAGCCGCGGUAAUACGUAGGGAGCAAGCGUUGUCCGGAUUUACUGGGUGUAAAGGGCGCGCAGGCGGGUUGGUAAGUCAGAGGUGAAAUCCUGCAGCUUAACUGUAGAACUGCCCUUGAUACUGCCGAUCUUGAGUAUGGAAGAGAGAGACGGAAUUCCAGGUGUAGUGGUGAAAUACGUAGAUAUCUGGAAGAACACCAGUUGCGAAGGCGGUCUCUUGGUCCAAUACUGACGCUGAGGCGCGAAAGCGUGGGUAGCAAACAGGAUUAGAUACCCCAGUAGUC